GAGAAAACCAUAAACGAGAGAUUCCACAUUUUUCAAAACUAGUACUCGCGACAACUGGAACACAAACUGGGAUUAGAUACCCCACUAUGCCUAGUCGUAAACUUUAACCUACUCCUUCAUCGCCCGGGAACUACGAGCUAAGCUUAAAACCCAAAGGACUUGACGGUACCCCAUAUCCCCCUAGAGGAGCCUGUCCUAUAAUCGAUAACCCCCGUUUAACCUCACCAUUUUUUGCCAAUCAGCCUGUAUACCUCCGUCGUCAGCUUACCACGUGAGCGUCAGUGAGCUUAAUGUUUUUCCAACUAUACGUCAGGUCAAGGUGCAACAUAUAAAAUGGGAAGAGAUGGGCUACACUUUCU
rnacentral:rRNA from 1 species